GUUUGGCUAUAGCAGGACAUUUUUUACUUGCCAUCAUGAACAGCAAAACGUUUUCUGUAAGCCUGGGAAAGGCACAGACCUGUUAAUGCAGAGAAGGAAUAUGUGAAAACACACAAAUGUAUUAGCAGAGUUUGAUCUGAACAGGAUGAACUUACUAUCUGGAUUUGUUAUGCUUGCAGGUGGGCCCCUCUUCUGAUAUGUGAUCUACAGCGAGCUACUCUGAAUCGUACGAUGACAAUGUUAUCACUGCCACAUCUCUGGGAACCAGUUAUUCAUAAGUAUACGGUGGAGGAGAGAGUCAACAGCCAUAUUUGCUGGAGCAGUGAACCAGAUUGCCUUGACUGGAACCAUUACUCACUUGCACCUUCUCCAGCAGCAGCCAGGAAAUUUGAAGACAGUCAUGCCUAUUAGAUGCUUAGAAGAUGCAGAUAGCUGUAUCAAAAUGGAGGAGCUGAAGAGAGCUUUGCUCUAGUAGAUCACAAAUAUUUCUGGGUCAUUCUGCAUCUCAGUAUUUAAUAAAAAUGAAAAUGUCCAAAUGCUAUAACA
rnacentral:lncRNA from 14 species